rnacentral:rRNA from 1 species
AGUGAACGCUGGCGGUAGGCCUAACACAUGCAAGUCGAACGGCAGCACAGUAAGAGCUUGCUCUUACGGGUGGCGAGUGGCGGACGGGUGAGGAAUACAUUGGAAUCUACUUUUUCGUGGGGGAUAACGUAGGGAAACUUACGCUAAUACCGCAUACGACCUACGGGUGAAAGCAGGGGAUCUUCGGACCUUGCGCGAUUGAAUGAGCCGAUGUCGGAUUAGCUAGUUGGCGGGGUAAAGGCCCACCAAGGCGACGAUCCGUAGCUGGUCUGAGAGGAUGAUCAGCCACACUGGAACUGAGACACGGUCCAGACUCCUACGGGAGGCAGCAGUGGGGAAUAUUGGACAAUGGGCGAAAGCCUGAUCCAGCCAUACCGCGUGGGUGAAGAAGGCCUUCGGGUUGUAAAGCCCUUUUGUUGGGAAAGAAAAGCAGCAGGUUAAUACCCCGCUGUUCUGACGGUACCCAAAGAAUAAGCACCGGCUAACUUCGUG